AUGUGGCUCAAGUUGGGAGGCGUUACCUGCGGAGGGUUUGAGGCACGCCCAGGAGCGAGCCCACGGUCGGCCGACGCGGGGCCAGGGGCGGGCCCCAGGAUCCGGAGCUUCGGGCGGGGCCGAGUCUGGGUUUGGGGCCCGGGAGGCGGGGCCAGUUAGGGCGAGGGUCCCUGGGAUCGUCGGGUCAGGCCUUGGGCUAACGUAGACACUCUCGCAGUACCUCCGCCUUCAGGAAGGUCUUUUUAGCAGGGGCCUUACAGGUGCACGCUUCGGUCCUGGAGGCCUUAUCCUAACCUCUCCAUCAGCGCCACCCGUCUGGGGCCCGAAAGGAGGGAGCUUUCCCUCUGUCCUCCAGCCUUUGGACUGUCUCCAAACAAGCCAUUCGUUCACCAAAUACUUAUUAAGCACCUACCAUGUGCCUGACAAGGGAGAUGUAACGACAGAAUCAACGGUUUCUGUGUCUGAGAUGUUGCAUACACCCUCUCAGUCCCUCUAUCCUGAGAUGGAGUCACCUGAGGAUCCACAGCAAGUCCUAACCAGGGAUGGGUCUGGGUGAUUAAGGAAGGUUGGCUUCAGAACUGGGCCAGGGGCACUGCUUUGCUUUUGCUGUUUUGAUCAGCUCUCUGCCUGCAGGAGACAAGGAAAACCAAUGGGAACAGCCCAGUAAAGGCUCCAUUCCCCAUUUUACAGCUGGGGAAACUGAGUUACAGAGCUUUUCUGCACUGAGUCAUCAGGAGCAAAUGCUAGAUCAGAUAGGGUCUCUCUCUCUGCCACCCAGGCCAGAGUGCAGUUGACGCAGGGCAGGGGAGCCCCGAAGUGGAGCAUAGUGUGUCCGGAACUGGUGGGUUCUUGGUCUCACUGACUUCAAGAAUGAAGCCGUGGACCCUCACGGUUCAAGCGAUUCUCCUGCCUCAGCCUCC
rnacentral:lncRNA from 1 species